UACGUAGGGUGCGAGCGUUGUCCGGAAUUACUGGGCGUAAAGGGCUCGUAGGUGGUUUGUCGCGUCGUCUGUGAAAUUCCGGGGCUUAACUCCGGGCGUGCAGGCGAUACGGGCAUAACUUGAGUACUGUAGGGGUAACUGGAAUUCCUGGUGUAGCGGUGAAAUGCGCAGAUAUCAGGAGGAACACCGAUGGCGAAGGCAGGUUACUGGGCAGUUACUGACGCUGAGGAGCGAAAGCAUGGGUAGCGAACAGGAUUAGAUACCCUGGUAGUCCAUGCCGUAAACGGUGGGCGCUAGGUGUGAGGGUCUUUUCACGACUUUCGUGCCGUAGCUAACGCAUUAAGCGCCCCGCCUGGGGAGUACGGCCGCAAGGCUAAAACUCAAAGGAAUUGACGGGGGCCCGCACAAGCGGCGGAGCAUGUGGAUUAAUUCGAUGCAACGCGAAGAACCUUACCUGGGCUUGACAUACACCGGAUCGGGCUAGAGAUAGUCUUUCCCUUUGUGGCUGGUGUACAGGUGGUGCAUGGUUGUCGUCAGCUCGUGUCGUGAGAUGUUGGGUUAAGUCCCGCAACGAGCGCAACCCUUGUCUUAUGUUGCCAGCAUUUGGUUGGGGACUCAUGAGAGACUGCCGGGGUCAACUCGGAGGAAGGUGGGGAUGACGUCAAAUCAUCAUGCCCCUUAUGUCCAGGGCUUCACACAUGCUACAAUGGUCGGUACAACGCGCAGCGACACUGUGAGGUGGAGCGAAUCGCUGAAAGCCGGCCUUAGUUCGGAUUGGGGUCUGCAACUCGACCCCAUGAAGUCGGAGUCGCUAGUAAUCGCAGAUCAGCAACGCUGCGGUGAAUACGUUCCCGGGCCU
rnacentral:rRNA from 1 species